rnacentral:rRNA from 1 species
CCUACGGGGGGCAGCAGUGGGGAAUAUUGCACAAUGGGGGAAACCCUGAUGCAGCGACGCCGCGUGAGUGAAGAAGUACCUCGGGAUGUAAAGCUCUUUCAGCAGGGAAGAAAAAAGACGGUACCUGACUAAGAAGCCCCGGCUAACUACGUGCCAGCAGCCGCGGUAAUACGGAGGGGGCAAGCGUUAUCCGGAUUUACUGGGGGUAAAGGGAGCGUAGGCGGCGCGGCAAGCCAGAAGUGAAAGGCAGGGGCUUAACACCUGAACUGCUUAGGAAACUGCCAUGCUAGAGUGCUGGAGAGGUAAGUGGAAUUCCUAGUGUAGCGGUGAAAGGCGUAGAUAUUAGGAAGAACACCAGUGGCGAAGGCGGCUUACUGGACAGUAACUGACGUUGAGGCUCGAAAGCGUGGGGAGCAAACAGGAUUAGAUACCCUAGUAGUC